GAUGAACGCCGGCGGUGUGCCUAAUACAUGCAAGUCGAACGCGUUGGCCCAAUUGAUUGAUGGUGCUUGCACCUGAUUGAUUUUGGUCGCCAACGAGUGGCGGACGGGUGAGUAACACGUAGGUAACCUGCCCAGAAGCGGGGGACAACAUUUGGAAACAGAUGCUAAUACCGCAUAACAGCGUUGUUCGCAUGAACAACGUUUAAAAGAUGGCUUCUCGCUAUCACUUCUGGAUGGACCUGCGGUGCAUUAGCUUGUUGGUGGGGUAACGGCCUACCAAGGCGAUGAUGCAUAGCCGAGUUGAGAGACUGAUCGGCCACAAUGGGACUGAGACACGGCCCAUACUCCUACGGGAGGCAGCAGUAGGGAAUCUUCCACAAUGGGCGCAAGCCUGAUGGAGCAACACCGCGUGAGUGAAGAAGGGUUUCGGCUCGUAAAGCUCUGUUGUUAAAGAAGAACACGUAUGAGAGUAACUGUUCAUACGUUGACGGUAUUUAACCAGAAAGUCACGGCUAACUACGUGCCAACAGCCGCGGUAAUACGUAGGUGGCAAGCGUUAUCCGGAUUUAUUGGGCGUAAAGAGAGUGCAGGCGGUUUUCUAAGUCUGAUGUGAAAGCUUUCGGCUUAACCGGAGAAGUGCAUCGGAAACUGGAUAACUUGAGUGCAGAAGAGGGUAGUGGAACUCCAUGUGUAGCGGUGGAAUGCGUAGAUAUAUGGAGGAACACCGGUGGCGAAAGCGGCUCUCUGGUCUGUAACUGACGCUGAGGCUCGAAAGCGUGGGGAGCGAACAGG
rnacentral:rRNA from 1 species